CCUACGGGGGGCUGCAGUGAGGAAUAUUGGUCAAUGGGCGAGAGCCUGAACCAGCCAAGUCGCGUGCAGGAUGACGGCCCUACGGGUUGUAAACUUCUUUUGUCCGGGAGCAAUUGGGUCCACGCGUGGGCUUAGCGAGAGUACCUGAAGAAAAGCAUCGGCUAACUCCGUGCCAGCAGCCGCGGUAAUACGGAGGAUGCGAGCGUUAUCCGGAUUUAUUGGGUUUAAAGGGUGCGUAGGCGGAAUAUCAAGUCAGCGGUAAAGAUUCGGGGCUCAACCCCGUCGUGCCUGUGAAACUGAUGUGCUUGAGUGUGCGAGAAGUAUGCGGAAUGCGUGGUGUAGCGGUGAAAUGCAUAGAGAUCACGCAGAACUCCGAUUGCGAAGGCAGCUUACCGGCGCCCAACUGACGCUGAAGCACGAAAGCGUGGGUAUCGAACAGGAUUAGAUACCCCGGUAGUC
rnacentral:rRNA from 1 species